ensembl:lncRNA
AGAAAACACGUCAUUCGCAGGAAUAUGUUCUAACAACGUGGUGCAGUCCGUCGUUAAGUAAUUAUUAUUUGUAUUCAUUUGAUGGAAUCCAUCCGCACGGGAGGACAGCGAAAGGAGAACCGGAGCAACACGUGAGCGAGCUGCACAGGUUCUCUCCUUGUGUUUGAGGAGGUGGUACAAGACGCUCGGUGACAGCACGCCUUCCUCUCUGCUCCUUUUUGUACCUCGCUGUCACUCAGAAGCUUCCAGUAUUGGCCAACGAAAACGGCCGCUGUGGUUCUGACGGGGAACCGGUGGGCUUCAAAGGACAAGAGAACAUGGCACGAUUGUUGCCCUCUCCCACUGC